GUGGGGCGCACCUAGGGUUCCGUUCGGCUGGUCCGAGAGGUGCAGGCGGCCGGCGACGGCCGUUCCACGGCGGGACAAAAGCCCGGGAGGC
rnacentral:sRNA from 2 species